AACGAACGCUGGCGGCAUGCCUAACACAUGCAAGUCGAACGGUGCCUUCGGGCACAGUGGCGCACGGGUGAGUAACACGUGGGAACCUGCCUUUCGGUUCGGAAUAACGUCUGGAAACGGACGCUAACACCGGAUACGUCCUUCGGGAGAAAGUUUACGCCGAGAGAGGGGCCCGCGUCCGAUUAGGUAGUUGGUGGGGUAAUGGCCUACCAAGCCGACGAUCGGUAGCUGGUCUGAGAGGAUGAUCAGCCACACUGGGACUGAGACACGGCCCAGACUCCUACGGGAGGCAGCAGUGGGGAAUAUUGGACAAUGGGCGCAAGCCUGAUCCAGCAAUGCCGCGUGAGUGAUGAAGGCCUUAGGGUUGUAAAGCUCUUUCGCACGUGACGAUGAUGACGGUAACGUGAGAAGAAGCCCCGGCUAACUUCGUGCCAGCCGCCGCCGUAAGAC
rnacentral:rRNA from 1 species